rnacentral:rRNA from 1 species
GACGAACGCUGGCGGCGCGCCUAACACAUGCAAGUCGAACGAGAGAUGAAGAGCUUGCUCUUCAAAUCGAGUGGCGAACGGGUGAGUAACGCGUGAGGAACCUGCCUCAAAGAGGGGGACAACAGUUGGAAACGACUGCUAAUACCGCAUAAGCCCACGGCUCGGCAUCGAGCAGAGGGAAAAGGAGCAAUCCGCUUUGAGAUGGCCUCGCGUCCGAUUAGCUAGUUGGUGAGGUAACGGCCCACCAAGGCGACGAUCGGUAGCCGGACUGAGAGGUUGAACGGCCACAUUGGGACUGAGACACGGCCCAGACUCCUACGGGAGGCAGCAGUGGGGAAUAUUGCACAAUGGGGGAAACCCUGAUGCAGCGACGCCGCGUGGAGGAAGAAGGUCUUCGGAUUGUAAACUCCUGUUGUUGAGGAAGAUAAUGACGGUACUC